rnacentral:rRNA from 1 species
GAUGAACGCUGGCGGCGUGCCUAACACAUGCAAGUCGAACGGAGUCCAGCCUUUAAGACCUUCGGGUCAAAGAGGGGAAGACUGAGUGGCGGACAGGUGAGUAACACGUGGGCAACCUGGCUCAUAGAAGGGGAUAACAGAGAGAAAUUUCUGCUAAUACCGCAUAAGCACACACUGCCGCAUGGCAGAGGGUGAAAAGAGAAUCGCUAUGAGAUGGACCCGCGUCUGAUUAGCCAGUUGGCAGGGUAAGAGCCUACCAAAGCGACGAUCAGUAGCCGAUCUGAGAGGAUGAACGGCCACAUUGGGACUGAGACACGGCCCAAACUCCUACGGGAGGCAGCAGUGGGGGAUAUUGCACAAUGGGGGGAACCCUGAUGCAGCGACGCCGCGUGAGUGAAGAAGUAUUUCGGUAUGUAAAGCUCUAUCAGCAGGGAAGAUAAUGACAGUACCUGAAUAAGAAGCCCCGGCUAACUACGUG